GAGAUGUUAGUAAAACAAUUAGCACGCCUUGUCAAGGCGAAAUAGCUGGUUAGACUCCGGCACAUCUCA
rnacentral:tRNA from 12 species